rnacentral:rRNA from 1 species
UACGUAGGGGGCAAGCGUUGUCCGGAUUUAUUGGGCGUAAAGAGCGUGUAGGCGGCCAGACAGGUCAGCUGUGAAAACUCGAGGCUCAACCUCGAGACGUCGGUUGAAACCGUCUGGCUAGAGUCCGGAAGAGGAGAGUGGAAUUCCCGGUGUGAGCGGUGAAAUGCGCAGAUAUCGGGAAGAACACCCGUGGCGAAGGCGGCUCACUGGCCCGGUACUGACGCUGAGGUGGCGAAAGCGUGGGGAGCAAACAGG